AACGAACGCUGGCGGCAUGCCUAACACAUGCAAGUCGAACGAAGGCUUCGGCCUUAGUGGCGCACGGGUGCGUAACGCGUGGGAAUCUGCCCUUAGGUUCGGAAUAACAGCUGGAAACGGCUGCUAAUACCGGAUGAUAUCGCGAGAUCAAAGAUUUAUCGCCUGAGGAUGAGCCCGCGUUGGAUUAGGUAGUUGGUGGGGUAAAGGCCUACCAAGCCGACGAUCCAUAGCUGGUCUGAGAGGAUGAUCAGCCACACUGGGACUGAGACACGGCCCAGACUCCUACGGGAGGCAGCAGUGGGGAAUAUUGGACAAUGGGCGAAAGCCUGAUCCAGCAAUGCCGCGUGAGUGAUGAAGGCCCUAGGGUUGUAAAGCUCUUUUACCCGGGAAGAUAAUGACUGUACCGGGAGAAUAAGCCCCGGCUAACUCCGUGCCAGCAGCCGCGGUAAUACGGAGGGGGCUAGCGUUGUUCGGAAUUACUGGGCGUAAAGCGCACGUAGGCGGCUUUGUAAGUCAGAGGUGAAAGCCUGGAGCUCAACCCCAGAACUGCCUUUGAGACUGCAUCGCUUGAAUCCAGGAGAGGUCAGUGGAAUUCCGAGUGUAGAGGUGAAAUUCGUAGAUAUUCGGAAGAACACCAGUGGCGAAGGCGGCUG
rnacentral:rRNA from 1 species